CUGGUUUUCGCAAGAGCUCGCUCCUCAUUGCUAUUGUCAGUGUUCUGUUUUCAAGAAAGAGGAAUACGUAUAUUUGAGGAAAUCAAAAACAUUAACCACCGAUGGAGAUAUAAUGUCGCAAGUUCGUAUGCAUCACUUGGUGCUUGAGAUCUGUGUGGUCACAGUUCUCCUGCAAAUGGCCUUAGGAGCUUGCAACAUUCCGCAGAGGACACUUCCCAACGGCAGCAUCCGGUGCCAUAUUCGAAGAUACGCCAAGCCCACUCUGGCCCAGGGAGCAUAUAUUCUGCAUUUCAGAUGCAAUCCUGGAUACACGAGAAUAGGUCCAAGAGCAAUACUCUGCAAAGAUGAAGAAUGCACGGGCCCAUUCCCGGAAUGCAUUAAGACGGAAUGUGAAGAGUCUCCGUCUAUCUCUAAUGUCAAAUAUGCGGUGAAUACAGGCAAGGAUGACAGGAGGAUGAUCGGAUCAACAGCUACCUAUAUAUAUGUGAUACAGGGUUCGAAUUAGAAAACCAUACUGCAGAAGUUUUGACACGCAAAUUGGAUCUAAAGAUGAAUGAUUUUCACUGGAGCAACCUAACUCCCAGGUGCAGAGAAGAUAUCUUGUCCUGAUCUUGGAGUAUCCGUCGAUGGUGCAAGGAAAGGAAAUUGUUGUUUCACCGGAGAUGUUGUCAAAUAUUCUUGUAAAGAAGGUUUUGAAUUAGCUGGGACAGAUACUCUCGUUUGUUUGACCACUGGAAACUGGAGUACACCAAGACCACUUUGUCGUCCUUUGGACGAUUACUGUAUUUCGCCUCCUCCCAUUAGCCAUGGCUCAAUCAUGGGGGAGAAAGAGGGGGAUUUCUACCGACCGUACGAUGCAGUGGAGAUCAUUUGCGAGCCAGGAUACGAAUAUCAGGGUUUCGAAUUCAACUUGUGUAUCGAAGAAAUUGGAUGGGAGGAGGACUUCUCUGAAUGUAAAGAGAUCUUUUGCACUCAACCAGAGCCACUUGUGAAUGGAUCUAUUCCGGAGGUACAGUCUACCAAUAUUACAGCUUUCCCUUACGACUUCGAGAUCACCUAUGUGUGCAACAAAGGUUACCGACUGAUUGGUGAUAGCUGGAGGCUCUGCAGUAAGAAUGGAUGGUCCGGAGAUGCACCGUACU
rnacentral:lncRNA from 1 species